AGUGAACGCUGGCGGUAGGCCUAACACAUGCAAGUCGAACGGCAGCACAGUAAGAGCUUGCUCUUACGGGUGGCGAGUGGCGGACGGGGGAGGAAUACAUCGCAAUCUACUUUUUCGUGGGGGAUAACGUAGGGAAACUUACGCUAAUACCGCAUACGACCUACGGGUUAAAGCAGGGGAUCUUCGGACCUUGGGCGAUUGGAUGAGCCGAUGUCGGAUUAGCUAGUUGGCGGGGUAAAGGCCCACCAAGGCGACGGUCCGUAGCUGGACUGAGAGGAUGAGCAGCCACACUGGAACUGAGACACGGUCCAGACUCCUACGGGAGGCAGCAGUGGGGAAUAUUGGACAAUGGGCGCAAGCCUGAUCCAGCCAGACCGCGUGGGUGAAGAAGGCCUUCGGUUUGUAAAGCCCUUUUGUUGGGAAAGAAAAGCAGUAGGUGAAUACCCCGCUGUUCUGACGGUACCCAAAGAAUAAGCACCGGCUAACUUCGUG
rnacentral:rRNA from 1 species